CUCACUUAAAAGAAAAAGAAAAGAAAUGAGAAGGGCACUCGGCCCUUCUCUGUAAACCAGCAGGGAGAAAAGAAAGAAAAGGGGGAAAAGGGGGAGAGUCCAAGAUUUUCUCAAAUCCGUGAAGAUCUAGACCUCAAAUCUCAAGUCUAAUUCCGGAAACGUGAUCUACACGUGUGGAUCUACGUUUUGACCGAUUAUUUUGAGCUACACAUUGCGCAGCUUUGAGUGAGGAUAAUCUCGAGAAGCCACGGAUUUUGCAAGAAGGUGAAGCUUCUUUGGAUGCAGGUAUUGAUGAUGCGGAGGAGGACUCCGUUGCACACUAUGUGGAGUACUACGACUAAGCACGUCGCUUGAGUCGUAGGAGUGUCGGACUUGGAUAGUCCCUUUUGUGUAUUUUGUAUAUGGCUAGUGUGACUUAUAACACGUAGAUGUAGCCAUUCUUUUGUAUGCAUAAUUUUAUGCUUAAGUCCCCUUUGCGUAUUUUGUAUAUGGCUAGUGUGACUUGUGACACGUAGAGGUAGCCAUUCUUUUGUAUGCAUAACUUAUGCUUAAGCCUUAAGCAGAUAGACAUUAACAGGCUCUUUUGUGUAAUGAACAGCUUAUGAUUAUAAUGUUGAC